rnacentral:rRNA from 1 species
CACGUAGGGCGCGAGCGUUGUCCGGAAUUAUUGGGCAUAAAGAGCUCGUAGGCGGCCUGUUGCGUCCGCUGUGAAAGCCCGGGGCUUAACCCCGGGUCUGCAGUGGAUACGGGCAGGCUAGAGGUAGGUAGGGGAGAAUGGAAUUCCCGGUGUAGCGGUGAAAUGCGCAGAUAUCGGGAGGAACACCAGUGGCGAAGGCGGCACCCUGGACCAGCACUGACACUGAGGCACGAAAGCGUGGGGAGCAAACAGG